rnacentral:rRNA from 1 species
UUGACCUCAAAUCAGGUAGGACUACCCGCUGAACUUAAGCAUAUCAAUAAGCGGAGGAAAAGAAACCAACAGGGAUUGCCUCAGUAGCGGCGAGUGAAGCGGCAAAAGCUCAAAUUUGAAAUCUGGCGUCUUUGGCGUCCGAGUU